AAGUCGUAACAAGGUUUCCGUAGGUGAACCUGCGGAAGGAUCAUUACCGUGGGGGAUUCGCCCCCAUUGUGAUAGCACCCUUUGUUUAUGAGUACCCCUUGUUUCCUCGGCGGGCUUGCCCGCCAGUAGGACAAUAAAAAACCCUUUGUAGUAGCAGUAACUUCGUUAAUAAUAGAUAUUAAAA
rnacentral:misc_RNA from 1 species